GACGAACGCUGGCGGCGUGCUUAACACAUGCAAGUCGAACGGAAAGGCCCCUUUGGGGGUACUCGAGUGGCGAACGGGGGAGUAACACGUGAGUAACCUGCCCUUGACUUCGGGAUAACUUCAGGAAACUGGGGCUAAUACCGGAUAGGAAUCCUUGCUGCAUGGUGGGGGUUGGAAAGCUUCGGCGGUUUUGGAUGGACUCGCGGCUUAUCAGCUUGUUGGUGGGGUAGUGGCUUACCAAGGCUUUGACGGGUAGCCGGCCUGAGAGGGCGACCGGCCACAUUGGGACUGAGAUACGGCCCAGGCUCCUACGGGAGGCAGCAGUGGGGAAUCUUGCACAAUGGGCGGAAGCCUGAUGCAGCAACGCCGCGUGCGGGAUGACGGCCUUCGGGUUGUAAACCGCUUUCAGCAGGGGCGAAGCUUGUGGUGACGGUACCUGCAGAAGAAGCACCGGCUAACUACGUG
rnacentral:rRNA from 1 species